rnacentral:lncRNA from 1 species
AACAAAUAGAGCACAAAAGGCCUUUAGCUGUGCAGGAAGGACAAGGUAGAGCUGCAGUGGGGAUCUCCUCUUGCUCCUCCUGAGCCUGCACAGCCUUUGUCAGGCAAAGCCAUUUGCCCCCAGGAGUGAGGGAUUAGGAUAUUUAUUCAUAAUUAAUGCCAUUUUGAAAAGCUACUGUCAACUCAAACCCAGCUUCAAGGCAGCAUAAAAUGACAGGGAUAGAACACAAAAACUUCACUGCCUUGUGAGGUUUCUGUGGUCUCUCUCUGCUGUUGCCUUUGCUAUCAGAUCCAAAAUGUUCUAUUUGAGCGUGGGAUAUACCUCUAUUCCACUGAACAAAAACAAGAAGUAUUUGAUCAGAAGACAUAUUUGGGAGCAACUUUGAACUAAAGAAAGUGAGAGGAAAAGAAACACUGUUAGUGACAGCUUCGAGGUGUUGCACAUAGAGAUAUGCAGGGCUGGACAGAAAUCAAGAUCUUGCGCAAAAAGGUA